AUGAAGACGUCUAUAUACAAUAAAGCUAAUAAUGCUCACCACCCUCUGUGUCAUGUUUUUUUUCUAACUCUCUUUCUCUCUCUUUCUUCUCACCUUCCUUCUUCUUCUCCUCCUCCACCUUUUCUAUCUCUAUAUCUUCCUUUUCUCCAAAUUUCCCCUCCCUUAUUGACCACUGGUCACCACUCUCAAAUACCCAUUUCUCUAUUUUCUGGUUUGAAAAAAGGUUGA